rnacentral:rRNA from 1 species
UACAGAGACUGCAAGCGUUAUUCGGAUUCACUGGGCGUAAAGGGUGCGCAGGCGGCCGUGUGUGUGAGGCGUGAAAGCCCGGGGCUUAACCCCGGAAUUGCACCUCAAACUACACGGCUAGAGCAUUGGAGAGGGUAGCAGAAUUCACGGUGUAGCAGUGAAAUGCGUAGAUAUCGUGAGGAAUACCAGAGGCGAAGGCGGCUACCUGGACAAUUGCUGACGCUCAGGCACGAAGCGUGGGGAGCAAAGGG